rnacentral:rRNA from 1 species
GAUGAACGCUGGCGGCGUGCCUAAUACAUGCAAGUCGAGCGAACAGACGAGGAGCUUGCUCCUCUGACGUUAGCGGCGGACGGGUGAGUAACACGUGGAUAACCUACCUAUAAGACUGGGAUAACUUCGGGAAACCGGAGCUAAUACCGGAUAAUAUAUUGAACCGCAUGGUUCAUUAGUGAAAGACGGUUUUGCUGUCACUUAUAGAUGGAUCCGCGCCGCAUUAGCUAGUUGGUAAGGUAACGGCUUACCAAGGCAACGAUGCGUAGCCGACCUGAGAGGAUGAUCGGCCCCACUGGAACUGAGCCACGGUCCAGACUCCUACGGGAGGCAGCAGUAGGGAAUCUUCCGCAAUGGGCGAAAGCUUGACGGAGCAACGCCGCGUGAGUGAUGAAGGUCUUCGGAUCGUAAAACUCUGUUAUUAGGGAAGAACAAAUGUGUAAGUAACUAUGCACGUCUUGACGGUACCUAAUCAGAAAGCCACGGCUAACUACGUG